AGAGUUUGAUCAUGGCUCAGGACGAACGCUGACGGUGUGCUUAAUACAUGCAAGUCGAGCGAAGAGGCCCUUUCGGGGGCACUUCAGCGGCGGACGGCUGAGUAACACGUAGGUAACGUGCCUUAUACAGGGGGAUAACACCGGGAAACUGGUGCUAAUACCGCAUAAGUUGCUCGUUGAAAUACGAGUAAUCAAAGGAGCAAUCCGGUAUAAGAUCGGCCUGCGUUGGAUUAGCUUGUUGGUAGGGUAAUGGCCUACCAAGGCAAUGAUCCAUAGUUGGUCUAAGAGGAUGACCAGCCAGAGUGGAACUGAGAUACGGUCCACACUCCUACGGGAGGCAGCAGUAGGGAAUAUUGCGCAAUGGGCGAAAGCCUGACGCAGCAACACCGUGUGAAGGAUGAAGGCCCUCGGGUCGUAAACUUCUGUCAGCAGGGAAGAUAAUGACGGUACCUGCAGAGGAAGCACCGGCUAACUACGUGCCAGCAGCCGCGGUAAUACGUAGGGUGCAAGCGUUGUCCGGAAUUACUGGGCGUAAAGAGUUCGUAGGCGGUGAUCUAAGUCUGGUGUUAAAGACUGGAGCUCAACUCCAACAUGGCACUGGAAACUGGAUCGCUAGAGUACGGUAGAGGAUGCGGGAAUUCCCGGUGUAGCGGUGAAAUGCGUAGAUAUCGGGAGGAACGCCAGUAGCGAAAGCGCGCAUCUGGGCCGUAACUGACGCUGAGGAACGAAAGCCAGGGUAGCGAAAGGGAUUAGAUACCCCUGUAGUCCUGGCCGUAAACGAUGGAUACUAGGUGUCGGAGGUAUCGACCCCCUCGGUGCCGUAGCUAACGCGAUAAGUAUCCCGCCUGGGGAGUACGACCGCAAGGUUGAAACUCAAAGGAAUUGACGGGGGCCCGCACAAGCGGUGGAACAUGUGGUUUAAUUCGAUGCAACGCGAAGAACCUUACCUGGGCUUGACAUCUGUAGAACCCUGCGGAAACGUGGGGGUGCCUUCGGGAGCUACAAGACAGGUGCUGCAUGGUUGUCGUCGGCUCGUGUCGUGAGAUGUUGGGUUAAGUCCCGCAACGAGCGCAACCCUCGUGGUCUGUUGAUACGGACGGAAACGUGCCGAUCCCUCAGAUCAGACUGCCGAUAACAAAUCGGAGGAAGGUGGGGACGACGUCAAAUCAUCACGGCCCUUAUGUCCAGGGCUACACACGUGUUACAAUGCGAGGUACAACGGGCAGCUUAACAGCGAUGUUUGGCAAAUCCCUUAAAACCUCGCCCAGUUCGGAUUGGAGUCUGCAACUCGACUCCAUGAAGUCGGAAUCGCUAGUAAACGCAGAUCAGCAUGCUGCGUUGAAUACGUUCCCGGGCCUUGUACACACCGCCCGUC
rnacentral:rRNA from 1 species